AUGGAGCAAUUGGAGAAGAGGAUGGAUGCUGCUGAACAACAAAUCAAAGAGCUGCGUGAAGAUCUUAAUAGGAGAUUUGACCAGCUGGUUGAGAUGAUAAUAAAGGGUGUCCCCCCUGCUACCAAUGAAGGAGAUUCAUCUAAAGAAGAGGAAGAUGUUCAUCAAGGAAGAAGGAGAGGUAAUCUUGGAGCAAGACCGCCACGACAACAUGUUGUUCAACGUGCUUCAAGAAGGCCAAUUUAUGUUGAGGCUUCUGAAGGUGAAGAAUAUGAUGAUGCCCUUGAAGAGCCAAAUCUCUACGCAUAUCGGAGAGCACCCAACCCUACAUAUGCAAGAGAUACAUACAAGGUGAAAGCUGAGAUCCCAAGUUUUAAUGGAAAUGUUGACAUUGAAGGGUGCCUGGAUUGGUUAUAUGAAGUGGAGACUUUCUUUGAGGUCAUGGAGGUUCCGGAAGAUCGUAGAGUUCCUUUGGUCGCAUACAAACUGAAAGGAGGAGCCGGUGCAUGGUGGCAUCGCAUUCAAGAGGAGCGCAGGCUCAGAGGAGAACCUCGUGUUAGAACUUGGCGACAAAUGAAAGGCCUCUUGAAAGGGAGAUUUUUGCCCGCUGAUUAUGACCAGAUCCUAUUUAUCCAAUUUCAAAAUUGUGCUCAAGGAAAUAGGACUAUUUCAGAUUAUACGGAGGAGUUUCUAAGGCUACAAGUGAGGUGCAACCUUGCUGAAACUAAAGAGCAACAAGUUGUAAGGUACAUCAAUGGUCUCAAUGAUGCUAUUCAAGACCGAUUGAUGAUGCAACAAAUCUGGUCCGUUGAUCAAGCACAAGCUCCAGCCUUAAAGGCCGAGAGGUUUGUGAGGAUGAGAAAGACAACUAAGGCUCCAUAUCCUCAUACCGAAGGCUCAUCUAGGAGCCAACCUAAUAGAGUGGAAGAAAAGACCACUCCACCAAAGACAAAACAGCCCAUCCCAAAGCAAACUAGAGGCAAGGGUAAGGCAAAUGAAGGCCCAAAGUGCUAUAAAUGUGGUAAAGAGGGACACAUAUCCAGCGGCUGCCCACUAAGGAAAUUUGUUAACAUGACUAUCCAUGAUGGUGAAAGCGAUGAGGAAGAAUAUGAAUCUGAAGAUGUAGAUGGACAAGAGGUUUGUCAAGAAGAAGGUGAAGAGGUGGUAUGUGUGAUCCAGCGUGUCCUAUGUUCCACACCACAACUCGAUGACACACAACGGAACAAAAUAUUUGAGAGCAAAUGCACGGUGAAUGGCAAGGUAUGCAAACUAGUGAUUGAUAGUUGCAGUUGCGAGAAUCUUAUCUCCCAGAAGUUGGUGGACCAUUUAAAGCUUGAAACCCAUGAUCAUCCAAAUCCCUACACUAUUGGAUGGAUCAAGAAAGGAGUGAAUAUGAGGAUCACCAAACAAUGCAACCUGCCACUUUCUUUGGGUAAGCAUUAUCGCUCAAAUGUGUUGUGUGAUGUGGUUGACAUGGAUGCCAGCCAUGUUCUUCUUGGGAGGCCUUGGCAAUUUGAUGUGGAUACUACACACAAGGGCAAGGAAAAUUCUUACUCUUUCAUUUGGAACAAGAGAAGGAUCAUUAUCUUACCAAACAAACCCGAAGGUAAUACCUCUAAGGAGGAGGGGAAAACUAUGUUAACUAUGUCCCAUACCUCUCAUGAGUUUAUGGAAGACUUGAAGGAGGCAGAUUUGUGUGCUGCACUUGUUGUAAAGGGAGAAGAGCACCUAACUGUUGAAAUUCCAGCAAAGGUACGUGGUUUAUUGGCAGAAUUUCAGAACAUAUUUGGGGAGCCACAUGGCUUGCCACCGAUGAGAGGAAUUCAACAUAGAAUUGACUUAAUUCCGGGAGCAAGUCUUCCUAAUCUUACACACUAUCGAAUGAGCCCAAAGGAGCAUGGUAUAUUGAAGUAG
rnacentral:rRNA from 1 species